CAGUCGCCGCGGUAAAACGGAGGGUGCAAGCGUUAAUCGGAAUUACUGGGCGUAAAGCGUGCGUAGGCGGUUCGUUAAGUCUGUUGUGAAAGCCCCGGGCUCAACCUGGGAAUGGCAAUGGAUACUGGCGAGCUAGAGUGUGUCAGAGGAUGGUGGAAUUCCCGGUGUAGCGGUGAAAUGCGUAGAGAUCGGGAGGAACAUCAGUGGCGAAGGCGGCCGUCUGGGACAACACUGACGCUGAGGCACGAAAGCGUGGGGAGCAAACAGGAUUAGAGACCCCAGUAGUCCCUGUCUCUUAUAC
rnacentral:rRNA from 1 species